rnacentral:lncRNA from 1 species
GUACUUACAAACAAAGAAGGACUGGUGGAAGAUGUGAAGGUUGGGGGCUGCCUUGGCUGCAGUGACCAUGAGAUGGUGGAGUUCAGGAUCCUGCGAGGAGGCAGCAGGGCACCAAGUAGGAUCGCAACCCUGGACUUCAGGAGAGCAAACUUUGGCCUCUUCAGGGACCUACUUGGAGGAAUCCCAUGGGUGAGGGCCCUAGAGGGAAGGAGUGUUCAAGAGAGCUGGUUAAUAUUCCAGCAUCACUUCCUCCAGGCUCAAGAGCGGUGCAUCCCUAUGAGUAGGAAGUCAAGCAAAGGAGGCAGGAGACCUGCAUGGAUGAGCAAGGAGCUCCUGGCAAAACUCAACCAGAAGAAGGAAGUAUACAGAAAGUGGAAAGGGGGACAGGCCACUUGGGAGGAAUAUAGGAACGUUGUCAGAGUAUGCAGGGAUGCAACAAGGAAGGCUAAGGCCCGUUUGGAAUUAAAUCUGGCAAGGGAUGUCAAGGACAGCAAGAAGGGCUUCUUCAAAUACAUCAGUAGCAAGAGGAAGACUAGGGAAAAUGUGGGCCCUUUGCUGAAUGGGGUGGGUGCCCUGGUGACGAAGGAUGCAGAGAAGGCAGAGUUACUGAAUGCCUUCUUUGCUUCAGUCUUUACUGCUCAGGCCAGCCCUCAGGAACCCCAGAUCCUGGAGGCAAGAGAGAAAGUCUGGAGAGAGGAAGACUUUCCCUUGGUCGAGGAGGAUCGGGUUAGAGAUCAUUUAAGCAAACUUGACACCCACAAAUCCUUGGGCCCUGAUGGGAUGCACCCACGAGUGCUGAGGGAGCUGGCGGACAUUAUUGCUAAGCCACUCUCCAUCAUCUUUGAAAGGUCAUGGAGAACAGGAGAGGUGCCUGAGGACUGGAAGAAAGCCAAUGUCACCCCAGUCUUCAAAAAGGGCAAAAAGGAGGACCCAGGGAACUACAGGCCAGUCAGCCUCACCUCCAUCCCUGGAAAGGUGAUGGAGCAGCUCAUCCUGGAAGCCAUCUCCAAGCAUGUGGAGGAAAAGAAGGUGAUCAGGAGUAGUCAGCAUGGAUUCACCAAGGGGAAAUCAUGCCUAACCAAUCUGAUAGCCUUCUAUGAUGGAAUGACUGGCUGGGUAGAUGAGGGGAG